AAAGAGGAAGAUCCUUGUCUUGGAGCUGCUGUGCAAAGGAGGAUGUGCAGGGAGAUGUCUUUGUCCUUGGACAACGAUUCAGCCUACCAGAGUGUUGCAGACAGGAGAAACCAUGUGCUGCCUCCAAGUUUCUCAAUUCCUAUAGAAAACACCUCAUCUCCAGGAAGCCAGCAUCAGUCCCCUCUGGGAUUGCCCAAGGUAAAAAAAGCUGAC